rnacentral:rRNA from 1 species
GAUGAACGCUGGCGGCGUGCCUAAUACAUGCAAGUCGAGCGAACGGACGAGAAGCUUGCUUCUCUGAUGUUAGCGGCGGACGGGUGAGUAACACGUGGAUAACCUACCUAUAAGACUGGGAUAACUUCGGGAAACCGGAGCUAAUACCGGAUAAUAUUUUGAACCGCAUGGUUCAAAAGUGAAAGACGGUCUUGCUGUCACUUAUAGAUGGAUCCGCGCUGCAUUAGCUAGUUGGUAAGGUAACGGCUUACCAAGGCAACGAUGCAUAGCCGACCUGAGAGGGUGAUCGGCCACACUGGAACUGAGACACGGUCCAGACUCCUAAGGGAGGCAGCAGUAGGGAAUCUUCCGCAAUGGGCGAAAGCCUGACGGAGCAACGCCGCGUGAGUGAUGAAGGUCUUCGGAGCGUAAAACUCUGUUAUUAGGGAAGAACAUAUGUGUAAGUAACUGUGCACAUCUUGACGGUACCUAAUCAGAAAGCCACGGCUAACUACGUG